rnacentral:rRNA from 1 species
AUUGAACGCUGGCGGCAGGCCUAACACAUGCAAGUCGAGCGAGCGGCGGACGGGUGAGUAAUGUAUGGGGAUCUGCCCGAUAGAGGGGGAUAACUACUGGAAACGGUGGCUAAUACCGCAGACUAUCGAAUGAGCCCUAAUGGGAUUAGCUAGUAGGGGGGGUAAAGGGUCAACGAGGCGACGAUCCCUAGCUGGUCUGAGAGGAUGAGCAGCCACACUGGGACGGAGACACGGCCCAGAUUCCUACGGGAGGCAGCAGUGGGGAAGAUUGCACAAUGGGCGGAAGCCUGAUGCAGCCAUGCCGCGUGUAUGAAGAAGGCCUUAGGGUUGUAAAGUACUUUCAGCGGGGAGGCGUUACCCGCAGAAGAAGCACCGGCUAACUCCGUGCCAGCAGCCGCGGUAAUUC